UUUAUCCUGAUGGAAGCCAAAGGCCGAUACAUGUUGGCCUACAUAACAACCAAGUGGUUUUAACUUUUUGAGGAUUUACCUAAUGAGUGUAGGAGGACAACCUGAAGCAAGGUCUUUUACUAUCUGUAUUGGGAAACAUACUGGGACAAGCUAAAUAAUGUUGAGCUGUGUGCUUUAAUGGAAGUUGUUUUUAAGAAAAAGCAAAAGGUUUACAAAAAAGGCAGAUUACAAUUUAGUUCCAGUUCCAGGUCCAUGUUUAAUGUGUAUGCUAGCUCAGUAGCAAUGCUUAAUGAAACACUUCAGAGGAAGACAUCCAUGGUAAGACAUCCAACCGUGUGUCUGUUUUCUUGUUUGUGGGACAACAAAAAACCUGCAGUAAUUUAAUGCAACAACUUAAACUCUGUACUGACGGGAUAUCUCUAUCUCAGAAGACACCUGCGGAGCACCAGCUGUACAGCUCUUGACAUCACAUUGCACUGAGAGAUGUGAGCCACGCUUUCCAGAUCCCCUUCAAGCCCUUUACCUCGUCACAGAAGCUGCAGUCGUGUC